rnacentral:rRNA from 1 species
UACGUAGGGCGCAAGCGUUGUCCGGAAUUAUUGGGCGUAAAGAGCUCGUAGGCGGCUUGUCACGUCGGUUGUGAAAGCCCGGGGCUUAACCCCGGGUCUGCAGUCGAUACGGGCAGGCUAGAGUGUGGUAGGGGCGUGCGGAACUAUGGGUGGAGCGGUGAAAUGCAUUGAUAUCCAUAGGAACUCCGGUGGCGAAGGCGGCACGCUGGACCUCUUCUGACGCUGAGGCGCGAGAGCGUGGGGAGCAAACUGG